rnacentral:tRNA from 1 species
GGUCCCGUAGCUCAACUGGAUAGAGCACCUGACUUCUAAUCAGGUGGUUGAGGGUUCGAGUCCUUCCGGGAUCGCCA